rnacentral:rRNA from 1 species
UACGUAGGGUGCAAGCGUUAAUCGGAAUUACUGGGCGUAAAGCGUGCGCAGGCGGUUUUGUAAGUCUGAUGUGAAAUCCCCCGGGCUCAACCUGGGAAUUGCAUUGGAGACUGCAAGGCUAGAAUCUGGCAGAGGGGGGGUAGAAUUCCACGUGUAGCAGUGAAAUGCGUAGAGAUGUGGAGGAACACCGAUGGCGAAGGCAGCCCCCUGGGUCAAGAUUGACGCUCAUGCACGAAAGCGUGGGGAGCAAACAGG